GGGGAUAUAGCUCUGUUGGUAGAGCUCUGAGAGCACAGUACGAUGAAAGUUGUAAGCUGUGUUCGGGGGGGAGUUAUAGUCUAUCGUUGGCCUCUAUGGUAGAACCUGUCGGGGAGGCCUGAGAGGCGGUGGUUUACCCUGUGGCGGAUGGCAGCGGUUCGAGUCCACUUAUCUCCA
rnacentral:tRNA from 1 species